AGUAGGUCUCAUUGUAAGAAAGCCCAAGAGUAAGCCAUGUGAGGUUGAUGGCGAUGCUUUUACAAGCGAUCGACUUACAUAGGUGUUUUGAGAAAUGGGCUCGACUUUGAAUCGAGAGGUUUUAUUUGUUUUUUUAAAAAUUGGUUUGAAUUGAUGGCAUGAGAAUUAUAAUCUUUUUUGUAUUUUUUAAGUCUUUAUCAUUUUUUAGGUUCAUUUUAAGAUGAGAUGAAG
rnacentral:lncRNA from 1 species